rnacentral:rRNA from 1 species
AUUCCCGCGUAUGUACUUGUUAAGCCUUUAAGAAAGAAGUUUAUAACUUAAGGAAUUAUAACAAAGAAGUAACACAUAAUAAGGUUGCCUUAUUUAGUGUGUAUCAAUCGAGUUUCUGACCUAUCAGCUUUUGAUGUUAGGGUAUUGGCCUAACAUGGCUAUGACGGGUAACGGGGAAUUAGAGUUCGAUUCCGGAGAGGGAGCCUGAGAAAUAGCUACCACAUCUAAGGAAGGCAGCAGGCGCGUAAAUUACCCAAUUCUAAAGAAGAGAGGUAGUGACAAGAAAUAACAAUACAAGGCCAUUUCAUGGUUUUGUAAUUGGAAUGAUGGGAAUUUAAAACCUUCCCAAAAUUCAAUUGGAGGGCAAGUCUGGUGCCAGCAGCCGCGGUAAUUCCAGCUCCAAUAGCGUAUAUUAAAAUUGUUGCAGUUAAAACGCUCGUAGUUGAAUUUCAAAGAAUCAAUAUUUUAAGUAAUACUUUUGCUAUAAGAUGCUUAGACAAUACAACGUAUCUGUUCUUUGCAUUCCUUAUGCAAAAUGUGUUCUUAUUAUAAAAAGGAUUCUUUUUAAAAUCUCUUUUGCUAUUUUUUAGUAUUGGAGAUUUUGUUACUUUGAGUAAAUUAGAGUGUUCAAAGCAAACAGUUAAAGCAUUUUACUGCGUUUGAAUACUACAGCAUGGAAUAACAAAAUUGAACAAGUCAGAAUUCUGUUCUUUUUUCUUAUUUUGGCU